GACGAACCGUGCGAACGUUGUUCGGAAUCACUGGGCUUAAAGGGCGCGUAGGCGGGCUGCCAAGUCCGGGGUGAAAUCUUUCGGCCCAACCGGAAAAGUGCCUUGGAUACCGGCGGCCUGGAGGGAGGCAGGGGCGGAUGGAACUUCCGGUGGAGCGGUGAAAUGCGUUGAUAUCGGAAGAACACCGGUGGCGAAGGCGACCUUCUGGGCCGCAACUGACGCUGAGGCACGAAAGCCUGGGGAGCGAACGGG
rnacentral:rRNA from 1 species